UACGGGGGGGGCAAGCGUUGGUCGGAAUUACUGGGCGUAAAGGGCUCGUAGGCGGCCAACUAAGUCAGACGUGAAAUCCCUCGGCUUAACCGGGGAACUGCGUCUGAUACUGGAUGGCUUGAGAUUGGGAGAGGGAUGCGGAAUUCCAGGUGUAGCGGUGAAAUGCGUAGAUAUCUGGAGGAACACCGGUGGCGAAGGCGGCAUCCUGGACCAACACUGACGCUGAGGAGCGAAAGCCAGGGGAGCAAACGGG
rnacentral:rRNA from 1 species